CCCAGGACUCGGAUCACACCUAAGCCGAAGGCAGACGCUUAACCAACUGAACCACCCAGGCGCCCCGAGGAGUUGAAUUUCUUAAUAUGGAGGUUCCGUUAAGCAGAGUGUACAUUUAACUUUUUCAUUUAUUCUAGUCAGUUUCGUUUGUCACAAUCUUUGAAUAAAAAAAAAUACCUUAUUAUAGUUGCAUAAUGCAGUUAUUCUAUAUUUUCAUGUAUUGCUUUUUUUAAAUGACAUUUGCCAGUUAUUUUAAUAACACCUACGGCCUGUUUGUUCAUUUAUUCUUUUAUUUACUGGAUUAUGUUAGGCAUUGUUAUUUAAGUGUAAAAAUCUGAGUUUUUUAAAUCAAAAGAGUAUAGAAACCACCAGAGCCAUAACGUUUGUUUCUGUAAGACAAAAAUAAAAGGUUAUCUGAACUAUUGAUGAAAUAUUUAAAAAUCACUAUUGGUAUAGCUCAGCUGAUUUCUAGCCUUAGAUUAUCGAUUGUAUUCUCCAGUGAUCUGUAUUUAAUAUGUUUCCAAUAGGUUCUUUUCAGCCAACAAAUGAAAUGAUGCUCAAAUUCUAUAGCUUCUAUAAGCAGGCAACUGAAGGACCCUGUAAACUUUCAAGGCCUGGAUUCUGGGAUCCUAUUGGAAGAUACAAAUGGGAUGCUUGGAGUUCAUUGGGUGAUAUGACCAAAGAGGAAGCCAUGAUUGCAUAUGUUGAAGAAAUGAAAAAGAAAGUUUGGAAAUAAGAAUGUUUUGAAGUACUGAAGUCCCUUUCUCAGGAAUCUGGGAAGUACCUGGGCUGUCUUGAAACCAUUUCUGCUUUGGAACUUUUUACUUAGGAGAAAUAGUUAACAACCCUGCCCCUCAGUGUUCUCAUCAAGUUUGACCCACAAAUUGAGAUAUUCCUAUCACAGGACUUCUUAGUAACAAGCCUUUUUCUGUGAAUGCAGAGAUCCUUCAGAAGCAGAAUAGGAUAAGGAUUCUUUUAAUGUCUCAUAAUUAAGAGGGAGAGCAUUCCUUACUGUUGUCUGUUCAAGGGAUUGUUUUGAGGAGCAAAUUUAUGAAGAAAUCUUGGAUUUUAAAGAUACUCUUAGUGUCUUUUUAUAAAGCACCGUUUCUAUUUUGGAACUGGAUCAGAAAUUGUGAAA